rnacentral:rRNA from 2 species
GCAUUUGACCUCAAAUCAGGUAGGA